CAUUCAGUAGCCUAGCUACUGGCAUGGGGAUUGUUAGCCUGCAUGGUAUCACUACCGAUGAGCAGCAGAUCCCCUGUUUCUACCCUUGUUUUUCGCGUACCUAUUGUUUCCUCGGCGGGCUUGCUCGCCGGUUGGACAAAACUUUAACCUUUUUUAACUUCAAUCAGCGUCUGAAUUAUACAUAAUAAUUA
rnacentral:misc_RNA from 1 species